CUUUUAUUAACUAAAAAAAUUUAACUUACAAGACGUUAAUAUUAUGAUAAACGAGUCUUGUCUACUCAAAAAGCAUAAAUCCGUAUCUUCAAUGUUGAAAUCACUUGUUUCAAAACUAAACUUCAAUAAAUCCAGACAAGUCACGACUAUGCACAACAAACCACCAAUACCACGGACGACAAAACAUACAACAGGGCGAGACUCACAGCGCCUUCUGGAGUACUUUUCAAAAAAACUAAAUUUACAUUUUUCAUACAUCAUAACAGAAAGUUUAAAACUAUUAUCCUUCCAAAUAGAAACAACAUUACAUAAAUAAACUAACAAUAUUUUAAAUAUACAAAAGAUCAUAUUCUGUACCCGAUAAAUACAAUCCAUUUUAGCAGGAACGAAUAGUCGAACACAUGACAGGACAACCAUCAUGGCAGUGCACAUCCACUCCUCCUUCACAGGUAAGUAACAUAUUAUAGAAAACGUAAUUUCUUGACGACUCCUCACCAGCCCCACAAUCCAAAACCUCACAA
rnacentral:lncRNA from 1 species